GGAUGUGAGGGUGAUCUGGCUAUGACAUGUCACCCCAUUGAUCACCCGGGUUGAUUUGGCUGAUCUGACUGGCUAAGCAGUGUCCCCUUCCUCCCUCACUGCUCCAUGUGCAGCCCUUCCUUCCUGAACCCACAAGCUUGGUCAAAGAGGACAGCCUUCCCUGAACAAAGACAGACUGGUCUUUUGUCAACAGUAAGCAAGUAACUGUGCUCCCCUUCUAGAACCUCCAAACAACCUCUCAAGGUCCAUUAGCACACCAUCUCAUGCCUUUUCAUGGACCCAUUUAAGAAGACUGGCUAGCAAGGCAAAAGUAUCCCAAGGCUCUGCCAUGAUUCCUUAAUACAU
ensembl:misc_RNA 7SK 7SK RNA